rnacentral:rRNA from 1 species
GAGUUUGAUCCUGGCUCAGGACGAACGCUGGCGGCGCGCCUAACACAUGCAAGUCGAACGGAGCUGAGAGGAGCUUGCUUUUCUUAGCUUAGUGGCGAACGGGUGAGUAACGCGUGAGUAACCUGCCCUGGAGUGGGGGACAACAGUUGGAAACGACUGCUAAUACCGCAUAAGCCCACAGCUCGGCAUCGAGCAGAGGGAAAAGGAGCAAUCCGCUUUGAGAUGGCCUCGCGUCCGAUUAGCUAGUUGGUGAGGUAAUGGCCCACCAAGGCGACGAUCGGUAGCCGGACUGAGAGGUUGACCGGCCACAUUGGGACUGAGAUACGGCCCAGACUCCUACGGGAGGCAGCAGUGGGGAAUAUUGCACAAUGGGCGAAAGCCUGAUGCAGCGACGCCGCGUGGAGGAAGAAGGUUUUCGGAUUGUAAACUCCUGUCGUCAGGGAAGAUAAUGACGGUACCUGACAAGAAAGCCCCGGCUAACUACGUGCCAGCCGCCGCGGUAAUAC